rfam:Selaginella moellendorffii unplaced genomic scaffold SELMOscaffold_1, whole genome shotgun sequence.
GAAAGGGCCCAUGAACAAGAGUGCACCCCCUUUUCCAAUCGGUUAAGGGUCUUGGGAUAGUUGGAGUUAAGCGUCCUUGGGUUUGAAUAGUACUGGGCUGGGUGACCUCCCGGGAAGUCCAAACUCAGGCGUUUACA